rnacentral:lncRNA from 1 species
UUUGGUGGAUGAUGAUGAUAAUAGAUGAUAUUUGUUUAUUUUAUUAAUUUUAAUAUAACUUUAAUUGCUAAUUUCCAAAAUUACCCUUAAUAAUUUAUUAAAUUUCCAAUGAUGACUAUUCAUGCUUAACCACUAAGCAUUUUAAUGGUCUAUUUACUAUAUAAGGACCUCCAAUUUAAAAUUCUAUAGCUAUUUAAUACAUU